rnacentral:lncRNA from 1 species
UUCCGUGGCGCCUCGGAGGCGUUCAGCUGCUUCAAGAUGAAGCUGAACAUCUCCUUCCCAGCCACUGGCUGCCAAAAACUCAUUGAAGUGGACGAUGAACGCAAACUUCGUACUUUUUAUGAGAAGCGUAUGGCCACAGAAGUUGCUGCUGACGCUCUGGGUGAAGAAUGGAAGGGUUAUGUGGUCCGAAUCAGUGGUGGGAACGACAAAUAAGGUUUCCCCAUGAAGCAGGGUGUCUUGACC